rnacentral:lncRNA from 13 species
GUGGAGAUCCCAUCUCUUAGGUUUUCCAUUGUGUCUCCAGCAUCCAACACAGAGUCUGACACACAGCUGAUACCCAGCGGACAUAUUUGUGAAAUAAGUUAAGAAGCACAAUGAUCAGCCUGCUCAUCUACACUUUUUAAAAUCUUGCUUUGUUUGGUGGUAUUCAUAGAUACAGUCACAGGCAUACCUGCAAUGGAUUCAGGGCAAAAAUCCUUUGGUAAUCUAGGCAGCUUUGUUCCCACUGAGAAAAUUAUAAACUUGAACAAAAGCUGAGGUUUGAGAAACGAGGACAAACACUGCUUUUGCACAGUCAAUAGAGAUUUUCACAGCAUGUUCUCACCUUUUUUCCCCCCCUUUAAAAAAUUAGUUCUCUGCUAUCGCCCAAGUAGGAGGUGUGCAACCGAGAAGAACAAUGAGGAACUGGGCAGGGGGCCACGAUGAAGUCUUGUUCUGUCACCCACGCUGGAAUGCAGUGGUGCAAUCUCAGCUGACUGCAACCUCCGCCUCCUGAGUUCAAGUGAUUCCCCUGCCUCAGCCUCCUGGGUAGCUGGAAGUAUAGGACAUGCCACUAUGCCCGGCUAAUUUGUUUGUAUUUUUAGUGGAGGUCGGGUUUCACCAUGUUGGCUAGACUGGUCCGGAAUUCCUGGUGUCAAGUGAUCCACCUGCCUCAGCUUCCCAAAGUGCUCCAAUUACAGCUUCCACUGACACCAAAAGGAAGUGAGUGGCCUCCUUUCUGCUGGGCGGUGGUGAAGUCCUAUCUCUCCAGCAGGCUGCCUCUGAUUCCACCCCAGCAGGAGUCAGGGGCAGCACCUCUUCACUGCCCCACUGUGGGGAAGUCUAAACUUUCCACAUGACCUUCAGGGAUACUGCAGUGUGAGG